AGAAGGGAGGUGGUCGCCCUCCGUCGUGGCCUGGCGUGGAUUCCGAGCGUUGGUGUCUGGCGGUUUCCGACCGUUGGUGUCUGGCACGCGCCACCCCGAUGUACCAGGUAAAGCCCUAUCACGGGGUCGGCGCCCCUCUCCGUGUGGAGCCCACCUGCAUGUACUGGCUCCCCAACAGGCACGGCAGGAGCGGCGGCCCAGCACUCGGCACUGGCCACUUGCAGACAAGAAGACAAGAAAAUGAUUUGAGGACAGCUUCAAUCGCGGUGUGAAGAAGAAAGCAGCAAAACGACCACUGAAAACAACGCCGGUGGCAAAACAUCCAAAGAAAGGGUCCCAAGCGGUACAUCGUCAUAGCUGGAAACAGUCAGAGCCACCAGCCAAUGAUCUUUUCAAUGCUGCGAAAGCUGCCGAAAGUGACAUGCAGUGUGGCCAUGAGCUCUGCCGGAAGUAACUUGUUGGUGUUAUCUCCUGAGUUAAAAUGUGAAGGGAUUUUUUUUUUUCAGAUGACUGAGAGUCUUCAGUUACUAGAGGCGGAUUUCCCUGACUGAAGACCAUGUUGCAGGCCCACAGCUGCCUACAGGCCCUCUGGGCAACCGUCCCAAAAUAUGGCAAAGAAACCUAUUCUGAGAGAUAGGGUCUCACCAUGUUGCCCAGGCUGGUCUUGAACUCCUGGACUCAUCCUAAAGUGCUGGCCUCUCAUUCCCUGUCUGUGCACACCUCACGGCAAGGGCCAGCCCGUUUCCUCCCGGUCACCUCCAAAUCUUGCUGCUUUUAAUUCAACUCAGAGCCCUAGCCAGGGUUGAGUUCUCACCCACCUGUGCCGCCCUGCCUUGUUACCUGGAAGCUCAGCCUUGGGGACUGAGCAGGCCCUCACUGUCACUUUAAGAAGGGAUUCAGCCACUUUGUGCUCACCACCUCUGGGGAAGGUGUGAGAGGAGAGAAGGAAGUGGCUGUUUGGCUGCUGACAAUAUGAAGACUUCCUGUGAUGAGAACAGAGGCACAGGUGCCGGCCCUGCAGCCCCCAGAACCCGGACUGGAGGGGGCCAUGGGGCGCCGGACCCUGGCCCUGCCCUGGGUGCUGCUGACCCUGCGUGUCACUGCGGGGACCCCGGAGGUGUGGGUGCAAGUUCGGAUGGAGGCCACCGAGCUCUCGUCCUUCACCAUCCGUUGUGGGUUCCUGGGGUCUGGCUCCAUCUCCCUGGUGACUGCCCGCUGGGAAACCCAGAGCAGCGUCUCUCUUGCUCUGGAAGUCUCUGGGGCCAGCAGCCCCUGCGCCAACACCACCUUCUGCUGCAAGUUUGCGUCCUUCCCUGAGGGCUCCUGGGAGGGCUGUGGGAGCCUCCCGCCCAGCUCAGACCCAGGGCUCUCUGUCCCGCCGACUCCUGCCCCCAUUCUGCGGGCAGACCUGGCCGGGAUCUUGGGGGUCUCAGGAGUCCUUCUCUUUGACUGUGGCUACCUCCUUCAUCUGCUGUGCCGACAGAAGCACCGCCCUGCCCCUAGGCUCCAGCCAUUCCACACCAGCUCCCAGGCACUGAGAGCACGAGCAUGGGCACCCAGCCAGGACUCCCAGGCUGCUCUCCACGUCCCUUAUGCCACUGUCAACACCAGCUGCUGCCCAGCUACUUUGGACACAGCUCACCCCCGACGGGGGGCUGUCCUGGUGGGCAUCACUCCCCACCCACACUGCACACUGGCCCCAGGGCCCUGCUGCCUGGGCCUCCACAUCCAUCCCUGCACAUGGCAGCUUUGUCUCUGUUGAGAAUGGACUCUACGCUUAGGCUGGGGAGAGGCCUUCCUGCACUGGUCUUGGCCUCACUCUUUUCGCUGAUCCUUGGGGCCCAGGGCCAUGGAGGGACCCUUAGGAGUUCGAUGAGAGAGACCAUGAGGCCACUGGGCUUUCCCCUUCCCAGGCCUCCUGGGUGCCACCCCCUUACGUUAUUCUUGGGCCUCUAAUAAGUGUCCCACAGGUGCCUGGCCAGGCCCACCUGCUGUGGAUGUGGUCUGUGUGUGUGCAUGUGUGGGUGUGUGUGGGCACAGGUGUGAGUGUGUGAGCGACAGUACCCCAUUCCAGUCGUUUCCUGCUGUGACUAAGUCAGCAACACAGUUCCUCUGACAUGGGCCUUGGCUGUGCUUCUUUGGGGGUGAAGAGAUUGGGGAGGAAGUCUCCACCCCUGGGAGGCAGAAGCCAGGCAUAGGGCGCUGGCUAGGACUCCAGUACCAUGAAGGGAGGCAGUGAGAGCAGACAUCUGUGCCUCAUUCCUGAUCUCAAGGGGAAAGCAAGAACAGGGGAGGCUUCCUCAGGAUCUCGAACCUGUGGAAGGAGGACCAGUCUGUGUACUUCUGCCAAGUCCAGCUGGACAUACAGAUCAGGGAGGCUGUCGUGGCAGUCCAUCAAGGGGACCCACCUCACCAUCACCCAGGCCCUCAGGCAGCCCCUCCACAGGGCCCCUCUCCUGCCUGGACAGCUCUGCUGGUCUCCCCGUCCCCUGGAGAAGAACAAGGCCAUGGGUCAGCCCCUGCUGCUGCCCCUGCUGCUCCUGCUGCUGCCGCCAGCAUUUCUGCAGCCUGGUGGCUCCACAGGAUCUGGUCCAAGCUACCUUUAUGGGGUCACUCAACCAAAACACCUCUCAGCCUCCAUGGGUGGCUCUGUGGAAAUCCCCUUCUCCUUCUAUUACCCCUGGGAGUUAGCCACAGCUCCCGACGUGAGAAUAUCCUGGAGACGGGGCCACUUCCACGGGCAGUCCUUCUACAGCACAAGGCCGCCUUCCAUUCACAAGGAUUAUGUGAACUGGCUCUUUCUGAACUGGACAGAGGGUCAGAAGAGCGGCUUCCUCAGGAUCUCAAACCUGCGGAAGGAGGACCAGUCUGUGUAUUUCUGCCGAGUCGAGCUGGACACCCGGAGAUCAGGGAGGCAGCAGUUGCAGUCCAUCAAGGGGACCAAACUCACCAUCACCCAGGCUGUCACAACCACCACCACCUGGAGGCCCAGCAGCACAACCACCACAGCCGGCCUCAGGGUCACAGAAAGCAAAGGGCACUCAGAAUCAUGGCACCUAAGUCUGGACACUGCUAUCAGGGUUGCAUUGGCUGUCGCUGUGCUCAAAACUGUCAUUUUGGGACUGCUGUGCCUCCUUCUCCUGUGGUGGAGGAGAAGGAAAGAUAGCAGGGCGCCAAGCAGUGACUUCUGACCAACAGAGUGUGGGGAGAAGGGAUGUGUAUUAGCCCCGGAGGACGUGAUGUGAGACCCGCUUGUGAGUCCUCCACACUGGUUCCCCAUUGGCAAGAUACAUGGAGAGCACCCUGAGGACCUUUAAAAAGGCAAAGCCGCAAGGCAGAAGGAGGCUGGGUCCCUGAAUCACCGACUGGAGGAGAGUUACCUACAAGAGCCUUCAUCCAGGAGCAUCCACACUGCAAUGAUAUAGGAAUGAGGUCUGAACUCCACUGAAUUAAACCACUGGCAUUUGGGGGCUAUUUAUUAUAGCAGUGCUAAGAGUUCCUUUAUCCUCCCCAAGGAUGGAAAAAUACAAUUUAUUUUGCUUACCAUACACCCCUUUUCUCCUCGUCCACAUUUUCCAAUCUGUAUGGUGGCUGUCUUCUCCUAUGGCAGAAGGUUUUGGGGAAUAAAUAGCGUGAAAUGCUGCUGACA
rnacentral:sRNA from 1 species